rnacentral:rRNA from 1 species
AUGUUCCCUCCAGCUAUUUUCAGUUGUUGCUUAGUGCUGAAUAACUCAAUGCUCUUGUUUCGUGGUACAAUGCGACUAUCUUUUUUCCAGAACGUGGAUUUAUCGCUGGUGUUCAGUUGCUCCCUUCUUCAGUCUGUAGUGGCUGUUGCUCAACUAAAGAUUCUUGCUCUUUAUGCUUUGUUUAGUUUUCGCCGUCCCAUGCCGAUGCUGUGCAGGUCCAUGAAAUCCAGCAUGUGCGACCCACUCCAGGGACUUUUUCCGCUCUUUUUCUUUGUCGGCAUUUUCUUUUUGUGGCUUAUUUUUUCCCUGUGA